rnacentral:rRNA from 1 species
CCUACGGGUGGCAGCAGUGAGGAAUAUUGGUCAAUGGGAGGAAUCCUGAACCAGCCAUGCCGCGUGCAGGACGACGGCUCUACGAGUUGUAAACUGCUUUUGUACCGGGGUAAAAUGCUCUACGAGUAGGGUUUUGAAAGUACGGUACGAAUAAGGAUCGGCUAACUCCGUGCCAGCAGCCGCGGUAAUACGGAGGAUCCGAGCGUUAACCGGAUUUAUUGGGUUUAAAGGGUGCGUAGGUUGUAUUAUAAGUUAGCGGUGAAAUACCGAUGCUCAACAUCGGGGCUGCCGCUGAUACUGUAGGACUAGAGAUCGGAUGCAGCAGGCGGAAUGUGUAGUGUAGCGGUGAAAUGCAUAGAUAUUACACAGAACACCGAUUGCGAAGGCAGCUUGCUAGGCCGGAUCUGACACUGAUGCACGAAAGCGUGGGGAUCGAACAGGAUUAGAUACCCCUGUAGUC